AAAAUUUCAAAUUUUCAUAUAUUUUCUUUAUGGCAAAGCAUACAUCUAGAGAGAUAGAUAUAAGGUUCCACUCAAUAAAUAAAUUGAUGCUUCUGUAAUCGUUAUCUUCAUCUUGCUUGUAGCUAAAUAGGUUGCAUUUUUCUUCAAUGACAUUCGUAUUUUUGUCGCUCAAUAGGCUGCACCAGAUAUUUACCCCUCCUUUCG
rnacentral:misc_RNA from 1 species